AAAAAUUUCGACUAAAACUUCUAAUUUGCAGCUAAUACAAAAUGGAUUGAUUUCGUUUUGCUGCAAAUUAGAAGUCUUAGUGACAAAAAUCAUUUACAUUACUGGUAAGUGGCGAGGAGAAAAAGUCAACUCGCUCACUAGGAUGCCCAGACUGUUCCCUAACUCAAACUUUAAUAUUUUAUUUUGCUUAUCAAUCCCCAACCCUGAAAAGACCACGAAUAUGUCCAAAUAUAUAUUUGUUUGUGUCUUGAAGAAGAUGAAGAUGAAAGUAAAUGAGGAUGAAAACGAAUAAAUCUUUAAAUAUACCCAAUUUAA